ACCAAGAAGCUCAAGGAUGUUCUGGAGGAGUUUCACGGUGAAGGAGUCCUCUCCAAGUACAAUCCUGAGCAGGUACAGUACGUCACUCAGCCCAUAGACUAUGAGGGUUUCCAGCUCUUCAUGACCACAUACCUGGAGAACGACAUCCCUGAGGAACUGUGUCAGCACCUGUUCACCUCCUUCAAGAGCAAGACAGGGGGCUGCUCUCCUGAGGUGCCCCCCAAACUCUCCACAGGUAGCAGUAGUAAUGCUCUGACCCCCACCCCAAAGGGCUCCCCCUUACCCUCCCCCCAGGUGGUGUUUCUGAAGGACAUUGUGUGUUACCUGUCCCUGCUGGAGAGGGGCACACCAGAGGACAAGCUGGAAUUCAUGUUCCGGCUGUACGACACAGAUGGCAAUGGAGUACUGGACAGCUCGGAACUGGACCGCAUCAUCAAUCAGAUGGUCCACGUGGCAGAGUACCUGGAAUGGGACUCUACAGAGCUGCGACCAAUCCUGAAGGAGAUGAUGGAAGAGAUAGACUAUGACCGAGACGGAACAGUCACUCUGGAGGAGUGGAUCAGAGGAGGCCUCACCACCAUCCCUCUGCUGGUCCUGCUGGGUAUGGAGACGGUAAGGCACUUUGUGUGUUGUUCAAACUGUCUCUCUCUGUACCUCUGUGUUUCAGUAUGCAAGUACACAGUCCAUGAACGCUGUGUAUCCAAAGACAUCGCUGCCUGCAUCAGCACCUACGCCAAGUCCCGCAGACACACUAAUGCUAUGCAGCACGUGUGGAUGGAGGGAAACUCUCCCACUAAGUGCGACCGCUGUCACAGAAGUAUCAAGUGCUACCAGGGCUUAACGGGCCUACACUGUGUGUGGUGUCAGAUCACUCUCCAUAAUAAGUGUGCGUCCAACAUGAAACCGGAGUGUGAUGGAGGAGCCCUUAGAGACCACACUCUACUCCCAUCCUACAUCUGCCCUGUAGUCCUGGUGAGAUCACACGCCGUAAAUCACACUCUGAAUCUCGAAAUGUUUUAUCUCCAAUACUUUCAAUGCUGGAAAAAACCUUUGAAAUAUAUAAUUAUAGACCCACAAAAGUAUACUGAAGGGAGGACGGCUCAUAAUAAUGGCUGGAAUGGAAUCACUCCUCUCCCAGGCACACAUCCCCUCCUGGUCCUGGUCAACCCAAAGAGUGGCGGGAGACAAGGGGAGCGGGUAUUGAGAAAGUUCCAGUACCUGCUGAACCCCAGACAGGUGUACAGUCUAGACCGAGAGGGACCCAUGGUGGGGCUCAACUUCUUCCAUGAUGUCCCUGAUUUCCGGGUGCUGGCGUGUGGAGGGGAUGGGACAGUGGGAUGGAUCUUAGACUGUAUUGACAAGGCCAACUUCACCAGAGAUCCCCCUGUGGCCAUCCUCCCUCUGGGCACAGGGAACGACCUGGCAAGAUGCCUACGCUGGGGUGGAGGUUAUGAAGGAGGCAGUCUUCUGAAGUUCCUGCGGGACAUAGAGCACAGCACAGAGAUGGUUCUGGACCGAUGGAACAUCGACAUCGUCCCUGUUGACAAGGAGGAGAAGGGAGACCCUGUCCCCAACAGCAUCGUCAACAACUACUUCUCCAUCGGAGUGGAUGCGUCCAUCGCUCAUCGCUUCCACUUGAUGAGAGAGAAGCACCCAGAGAAAUUCAACAAGACCAUCUCUGCCACGUGCAAGAAACUCAACGAGUGUAUCGAAGUGGAGUGUGAUGGUAUCAUCCUGGACCUCAGCAGCACGUCGUUGGAAGGCAUCGCCGUCCUCAACAUACCCAGCAUGCAUGGCGGCUCCAACCUGUGGGGCGAGACCAAGAAGAGGAGGAACUACAGCCGCAUGAGCAAGAAGGUUCCGGACAGGAUGCCCGCCAGUACCGUCACCGAUAUAAAGGAGCUCAAAUUCUGUGUUCAGGACCUGAGUGACCAGUUGCUAGAGGUGGUGGGUCUGGAGGGGGCCAUGGAGAUGGGGAAGAUCUACUCAGGCCUGAAGAGUGCUGGCCGUAGACUGGCCCAGUGUGCUAACGUCACCAUCAGGACAUCCCGGCUGCUGCCCAUGCAGAUCGAUGGGGAGCCUUGGAUGCAGCCCCCAUGCACGAUCAAGAUCACACAUAAGAACCAGGUUCCCAUGCUACUGGGCCCUCCUCAGAAGACCCCCUUCUUGUUCUUCAAGAGACGCAACAGAAGUCGGGACUAUGAGUGAGGAGGACACUUCAAACUCCCCCCUCUUCACAAACACAUUCACCAACCUCUUGGGACAACUCAAUAGGUCCCACAGACCAAGUCAUUGCCCCUUGGACCUACAGUACCACUUCAGAAUGAACUGACUUCCUCUCAGUGUAAUGACCACUUCCUGUGUAUCCAUGUUCUAGCUUCUAGAACUUCCUGUGAACUCUGAACUCUGACCCUGCCACUGGCACACUAGCUCAGUCAACCCCAGCUCCAGACUCAGCU
rnacentral:lncRNA from 1 species